AGAAGAAGAUGGAUGGCUUUUGGCACCCUGUGUUAGAAAUACCAUACCGACUUUGUGUUUUGGACUUGUAACCAGUUUAUACACUUAUUUGUUACACUUUAAAAUGAAGAACAGUGUUUUCAGUUGCUGUUACUGAUAUUCUCUGACAUGUAUUUGAAGGUCGCUGUGGCAGCAGGAGUGGAUCUGCACUGUCGUAAGGAAGCGUGCUGCCUUCAUCAAGUGUCCCUGCUGCAGGGAGGACAAGUGACCCCUAAUCUGCCUCUCCUGACCUGUGCCUUCAUCUUUGUAUAACUGGAGUAACCCCACUAACUCAACAGCUGUGCAGAGCUACACAGAGACUAAAGUGUUGGCUAAAUUAGAACAUCUAGGUGCCACACAGGGCGCAGGUGUGUGUUUUUUGCCCCAUGGUCGAGGAAAGUGUUGAUAAGGAUGGCCAAGUACAGACCUGCAGGUGGCGUCAGUCCUUCCUCGUGUCCCAGAGAUACAUGUCAAUUCUCCAUCUGAACCAAUAACUACCCAGUGGAGCAACGCCAGUGUGUUCAUCACCAGGUGGUGGAGACAAACUGAGUUCAAGAAUGGUCACAGGCGUUCAAAUAGCCUUGAGCUUGGGAGAAGCAGAGGGAGCGUCUGUUUUGUCCCACUUUGAAAGAGACUGUGGAUGACGAUGGCUAAGUCGCUAUCAACUCAUUAUAUAGAGUCUGGACAGCAUCUCUGAUUGGAUGAUUACCUGGUACCUGGAUGACAUUUGUGGUGUGUGGACCCACUCCAGGGAGGAGUUCAGUGUAUUCCUGAACACGCUGAACACCCAUAAUAAAAACAUCACCAUCAAGCCUCCAUCACAUCACCUGGACUUCAAGGUCUUUUCCAAAUAGACCGACACCCUCCUGUAUAAAAGAAGCUUCCACCCCAAGCACACUUUUGCAGGGUUGGUGAAAUCUCCACUGCUGAGGUUUAAUAGGAUCUGUACCUGGCAGAAGGAUUUCACAGUAGCUACGAAGGUCCUCUUUUCAGCCCUGAGGAAGAGGGGCUACUCCAGGUCCUUUCUAAGGAGACAGACUAAGGUCUUCCUGGACUAGAAGAGGCCUCCCCCUGGAACAUCCAUGAUUCCUCUCAUCACCACCUACUCUCCUGCGGCCGUACAGGUCGCCAGAAAUGUCAAGAACAACUUCCAAGCCUUUGUGGAGAGUAGUGGGAAGCUGCAGGACCACUACCUGGUGUCGGCCUAUCGAAAUAACCCCAACCUAUAUGAGCUGCAGGACAGGGCCCGGGCCAGCUCGCUCAGAGACUCGCCCCCGACUUGGAAGAGCGCUCUUUUCCGCUACACACCUUGGCUCGUCAACCGUCACAACGUGACCAGCACAAAAAAAAUUGUGUGUAGGUCGUCUCCUGUCGACGAUGGCACGUCAUGUACGUUAGCAAAACGGGUACACGGACAUCCAACAUUUUUAGAAUUCCAACAGAAUCCAUCACAAUCGAAUAGAAGCACAAAACUUUAGUUUUGAGAAAAGUUGUUAGUUUUAUUAGAAAUAUCCAAUUCAGACAUUCUGACAAAGACAUUUUCCCAUGAUUUUAAAUGCAAUUUUGACCCUUUUUUUGCAACCAAAAUUUUAAAUCACAUCAGACAGAGUGGACGGUUAUUUGUCACAUCUCCAAACAUGUCACCUUUAGACAUUUUGACGACGAGUGCAAAUGUAAGUUUGACACUCUUUAACUCUUUAUUUCAUUCGCCGUGUUUGCUGUCCAUUUAGCCGACAAUGCUUCGACAUUCCUCAACAUUCCUCAACAGUUAUUCACUUCCUUUCGACAAAGACAAACGCUACAAAAACUAACUAUUAUUUGACACAAACAAUGGCGUCUGAAGCAAUAUGCACUUUUAAUGUUCACAUUCCUUUGAAACCGGAAGAAAAGAUGUUUACGACUGUGAAUCCCUGAUUAAGUCGCGGUAGAGGACGGAUGAAUUUGUAACACAAAUCGACUGUCCGAUUAAUUAAACAAGAGAGAGGGAUGUAUUUAAAAAUAAACACAACUGAUAACUAUUGUAACGACCUGCUGGUGGUUUAGAGCUCACGUUGGGAGAUAAACCAUGCUUUAUAUAACCUAUUUUUAACACAAGAUUGGCAAUAAAAGUAAAAAAAAAAUUACUUUCUGGGCACAACAACACAAUAUGCUGAAAAACGACACAUUCCAACCACAGCUUUGCAGCCCGCAUCGCCGCUAACGCGAAACUAGAAUAAUGGAAGAUGCACGACAGGGUUUCAACUUUAAGUCAAUAUCACCAGCAUUGAUUGAUCUGACGGUGACAAUAGCUGUGUCCCAAUUGAAAGUCUGCAUCCCUCGAAGGGCAAAUUUGAAAGCAGCUUACGUAACAAAGCUGCGGGAAGACUGUCCCAAUUCAUUCAAUUCGAAGGCUCCUCCAAAAGCAGCCGACGAAUGCGCCCUCCUUUUCCCUGUAUUUGGAGGAUGCACCACGACUAUCCUUUGUGGCCUCCCAUAUCCCAAUAUGCUUUAAGCGCCUUUGUUCAACCCGGAUCUUUUUGACGAUGGCGGCAAAUACAAGCAGCGGCACCAAAUACACUUUCAAAUGUAAGUAUCCUCCGCAGGCUAGACUGUCCCAUUUAACAACGGGUGAUGCAUCCUUCGGAGGUCCCUCGGAAGGUCCUGCCUACUGAGGCUGCGUAGAACGGGUCCUCCGAAGGAUGCAGACCCUGAAUUGGGACACAGCUACUGUUUUUGUUGUAGGUUCAAGAAUGGCCAGCCACGUCCUUACAGCCUAGAUCUGGGACGUGUCGUGAAACAAAAGCUGUGGAAACAGUUGCGCCCCACCUUUACUGAAACUGUGGCUGAGAAGGGAAGAGUGGAUGUCACUCCAUAAUACGGAGGUGGAGUCCUCACACUUCUGUAUGAUGUCGACAUUAGCCUGGAGCCCAAACCCCCUCAGUGGUUUUAAAAAAGUAGUUUGACUAAAUAUGAAGGAAAGGGUAGAAGACCAGAAGAGGAGGUCGGGGUCGUUAAAAUGUCUCCCGUACUGUAUCUUUAACAGUUUCUCCAAGAGCAGUGUUUUGGCGAGGAAAGUGGGGGUUGCGUGUUGUUGUGGGAAACACAGGAUCUCGAUCGGGUAUUUUUAGCCAUCCGUCGCAUUAUUUGUCCGUGCCGGAUCUACCUAGUCAUGUAGUUAUUGACGAGCAGUUGUUUUGUUUCCAUUUUAGUCAACACUCAGUAUCAGGUGAUGUGGGCGUUGAGCAGGAAAAACGGUCCCUUUGUGACUCUGCGUAAUGGUUGAGAGGGAAUUUUCAGUCAGUACAGCACAUGUCUGCUGACACUGGUAACGUCUACAUCUGCCCUCAUCUGUGAGGAUGGACAGUUCGCUGUGGUCGACAGUCACUCACGUAGCAGCUGUGGCUUGGUAGAUGACAACGGUACCAGUGUAAUACUGCACUUUUCCUGUUUAGAUGAACUGCAUCACUACAUCUGUUGUUUGGCUGACGUUCACAGUCCAGGGCCGAACACUUUUGAGCUGUGUGGCGUUAGGGUUAGUGUAGGUCCAAGUCCAGCGUUGUCUGGAGCUUUUGUAGAUAGUUGCAUCUUUGAGAUUAGAUUAGAUUAGAUUAGAUUAGAUUAGAUUAGAUAGUACUUUAUUUAUUCCGUCAAGAGAGUUCCUUCAGGAAAAUUACAAUUUUCAGCACAAUCCCAUUCAAGAUCAGACAAACAUUACAGGGAGACAGAACAGGAUCGCUGACGGGUCUGCCGGCUUCCAGCGCCCCUUACAAAAAAGAUGACAUACAGGUAAACAAGGGGGGGGGAGAAAAAAAAAUAGAAGAUUAAAAUAAAAUAAAAAAAUAAAAACAUCGGUCUUAGCCUAGGCCCUGGAGUGGGGGUGCAGACUGAGGCCAAGGGAAAAGAACAACUCAUAGCCAUAGUACACAUCCCUCUUACUUGUGUGUAAGAGGGAAACAUCAAACAUCAAAGAACACAGAGGACAUUAAAGACAUUAAAGCAGCAGAUACAACCAGACACUUCUACAUACAGCUAUGAAUAAAAAGUAAAAUAAACAUAUCCACUGUGGUGGCCUCUGCGGUGUUCCACGCCAUCGUCCGCUGGGGAGGAGGGAGCAUGGCCAGAGACAGGAGCAGACCCAACAAAGCAACCAAGACAGCCGACUCCACUCUCGGCCAGUGUCCAGUCCGCAUGGAUGAGCGAGGAUACGUCCAAGGCGACUGAGGUGUCCGACACCUGCUCACCCAGUCAAGACACCGCGUAGCCUCUCCGUCCCAGCGCUCAGUGCGAGCUCCGCAGCCCUGUCCCCUCAUCCGCAUCUCCUCCAGUCCCUCCAAACAGACUCUGGUGUAGCAGACACCCAGCAGCUGGUCUCCAUGGCCAAAAGGCUCCCAGGAGGCAGAUCCAGAAGUCCACAAAAAAAGCACCACAGAGGUCACGAAAGUGCCACCCCUUGUCACACAGUCCCAAAGGGUCCCGGACCAAAAGGCAAAAAAAUAUAAUAACACAUGAAAACAAGAGGGAAACACAAAAGGAUGACACAAGAGCACAGAGCUCCUGCCUACAGCAGCCACUACAGCAGCGCCAUCUUGGAAAAAAAAAAACUGAACACUGCUGCAGCACCUGAGCUUAGUGACAUCAAUGAUGUUUGUGCCACCACCUCCUUGUUUGAGAGUGAUGCAGGUCAAGCUGUGAGCCAAGCACAAUUUGGUGUUUCUGUGGAGAGUGGCUUCAUAGAGAUGAGCACUGCUCUGGCACCAAGAUUUAGUGACCUUGAACAUUUUUUUGCUGCCCCAUCUGUGUCAGAGUGGGGCUGGUGUUGAAGCGAGCCCGGCACUGUCUGGAGCAGUAUUUUGAGCAUGUUGUAAGUAUUGCCCCCGCAGAAGGUAAUAGUCCGGUUAGAAUGCUUUCUGACAAAUUAAAUGAGGCGAUGUUUU